UAUAUUUGCAGCCUUCGAAAUAAACUCGAAGUUGCAUAAAAAUCAUUUACAAUAAUAUUGGCAUG
ncrna:unclassified sequences S15-Flavobacteria ribosomal protein leader